GGGAGGGUUCGGGGUGGGGGCAGUGGCGGGGGAGUGGUAAAAACCACUUUCAAAAAUUUGAGUCUGUGGGCUGUGCAGUUUUCCUGUUUGGAAAGAGAAUACAGUCUGCCCCAGAGCAGCAGCGAAGCCAUGUAAUAUAUAUGAUAUAUAUUCAUGCUUAAUAUUAAUGCCAAACCACAAGAAAAAAGACUUGUUUCUUAACCUAUCAGCCUAGUAACUGCUUAAAUUUUUAAAAGUCACAGAAGUGAUGGACAAUUUUUCCCAGAGUGGAAAACAGUCACAAAUAAGCUUGCUCUGGUCUGUCCCAUAUCACACCCCCUCCCAACGCCAUGCCUGUCUUCAAACUGGCCCAGGUGGACUCAUGCUGAAAAGCCAUUUUGCCCCUGCUUCAAAGGGGUCGUGCGGCCCAGGCAUGGGUGGUGGAAAUGGGGGAAGGUGGAGAGAAGAAGGGGAGUGACUAAAGAGAUGGGACGAUUCAGAGGUCCAAGGAUGGAGAGUCAUCUUCACGCCUCCAGGCUGGGGACCUCUCUCUCAGCCCUCUCAUUUCUGUGCUUCUCCACCCACCCCACUUACCCUCCACCACCCAGAAAUGGCCCCCAUGUUUUUUCUCAUCAUAUUGCUAAUAUGCAAUCUUUUUACAGUUUAAAAAAAAAGUAAUAAUCUCAAGAAACAAUAUGCAGAUAGACUGAGUAUAAACAGACGCACUUUUUCAGAUGUCUAUUUUUUUGGAGAGUGUCUUUGGAAUUGCAAGCGGGGGUAUGUUUGGGAAGGUGGGGUUGUAGGAUGAAACAGAUGUAUUAUAUUGUGGCUCUACAGAGUGGAGUUGUACAAGGUAAAAGGGCAGUAGUAAGGCUGCUGCCGCUUAAAUACAUGGAUACGGGUGGAAAGAAACAGUGAUGUUUAUAAAGUCUGUUCGUUGUAUUCUGACAUUUCAUAUGCCACAAAAAACGUGGGGAGCUUGGCGGGGGGGUGGGGGGAAGAUCCCAUUAUAUUUUUGUAAAUCUUUGUUUUUCUUUUUGGUGCUUUGUUUAGCUUAAACAUUUAGGAAAGUUAGACAAAUUCUCUUUCCUUCUAACUCUGAAGUGCCAGAACUAUCCCAAGAUAGCUAAGGUACUCUGGGGGAAAAGAAGAGGGAGAGGGCAGUGGACCGCAGGAGCGGGAGAGCCUGCUCCAGGACACGGAUGUUGACAGGUAGGAAGUCUGCAAGGUGGGCCGUGGGAUUAGAAAGGAGCUGUGUCUGGCAGCUGUCACACCACUGCACCGGGGACAAUGGCACUACUAUUUGUGGCAUCCUUCCUGCUGUGGCCUAUAACCAGAAUACUGGGAUUACAUUUCUUUCUUUGCACUUUUGUGGAUCAGAGUGGUAGGCAGUUGACAAUCAGUCUGUACUGUGACUUUGGGGUCACUUGUGUCUUUGGAGCAUCCCUAACUUAGGGCAGGACAGAAGUGAGACACUGGAACCUAACCCCACCCUAAAGCACCUUCCCCAGGGGAAAUGUCUCCCAUUACCCAUGGUGCAAUAGCUAAUUCCCACAGAGGCCCAAAGAAGUGGGUCGAGACAAGGACCCAGAAGUGAUUCAGGUCAAGAAAAUGCACUAUGCAGCCAAAAAAGGAUUUGGCUUUGUGGCUUUAAUGAAAAAGUUGUUUGCAACCAAGUUCCAAGGUCAAUAAAUCAUUGCCUUCCUUUCUCUUGGCCUGUGUAGAGCAGAAAACAAAGCUGUAUUCUAGCUUUGGAGGGUGUGGGAUGGAUCCCGAAAUCAUUUUUUCUAAGAAGCACUGAGGGAUGGCAGCCGAGUGAGUAGGAGUCUCUCAUGUAAGACUGCUCAUUUCCCCACCAUUAACAGGUGUCUGGGAGAAGGCAGUGGCACCCCACUCCAGUACUCUUGCCUAGAAAAUCCCAUGGAUGGAGGAGCCUGGUGGGCCGCAGUCCAUGGAGUCGCUAGGAGUCAGACACAACUGAAGCGACUUAGCAGCAGCAGCAGUAGCAACAGGUGUCUGAAGGGGGAAAAGUUAAAUAGAGGGAUGUGAACAAUCACUACCAAUUCAAGACUAGAAUAUCGGACUUUGGACUGCUAUUAGCACCUUUCAUGAGCACUACACUCACUUUAUUUAAGGGAGGUGGUGGGGAAAAACUUGAUUUCCAAGUGGCACAUGGGUCUCUGGAGAGGCUAUCAGUCCCUUUCACUAGCACUUCAUUCACUUUAUUUAAGGAGAAAUCAUUUUUAAAUUUUAAAAAAAAACUAAAGAACCCCUUCUCUCUAUUUUACUCAUUGUUAGACUAAAUUCAACAUGUCUGAAAUCUAGGUGAAUCGGGCAACUAAGACAGUACCAAUUAUUCUAAGACAUUCUGUUUCUGCUCAAAUAGCAAAAUCACACUGGUCUCCUUACAUGAUGAGGUGUCCAGAAUCUCUUUGAGACGUGGAAAUCACUGGGCAUUCUGCCCAACCUCUGCUGGAUCCUUGAACUUCACACAAUAUUGAAUCUGUGUGCCCACUGGGUGCUGCCAGGCCUAGCUGACAGUAUCCACCAGACAACAGAAUCAUUUCAAACACAGAGGAGACGAAAUCUUUUCUCAGGCUAUUCUAAACAUGGUAUCCCUUCACAGAAAAUAAAUGUGAGGUGAUGCAUGAUAGCAAUGAAAAGAAGAAUGCGAAUUUUAGUCUUGCCACUAAUAUGCUUGGGUGACCUUGGGUAAAUCACUAAGCUUUGGUUUCUUAAACUAUACAAUGGGGAGAGUGUCACAGGUGAUCUAACUCCCUCCUAGCACUGACUGUUCUAUGUGUUUGAACUGGUCUGUAGGAAUUUCACGCAUCAGAAAGUUUAAUAUCAUUUUGAUUUCUGAACUCUCCAGGUGGCCAUGAGCAUACAUAUGCACAUGUAUAUAGACACACAAUUUUGUUGCCUUUCAUCUUUGGACAAUUGGCAGAUUUGUUUUUUCCUUUUGCUCUACGUUAUCAAAGGUAAACAGUGGUGACGGACAAGGCAGCAAUCAUUAUAAUGUCAAAAAUCCCAUCAUGAAUUAGGAAUGGAGCAUGCUCAAGGAGAAGAUAUUAUCAUUAAUGUAUAAUGUAGUAAAGAUUUGGCAAUUAAUUAUAUGGAUCUCAUCAUUAUAGAAAAUCAAAGUAGGUAAUAUUUAGGCCAUUUUUUUAAGAUGGCUCCAAUAAACAGGGCAAUAUUUUCUUAAUUUCCUUUCAAUUUGCUCACAAAGGACAUCAUGCCUUGGGACUAUGCAUGCCAAGUGCUAACGUCGGGGAGGAAACUGAUUUAGUAAACAAGUGGUUUACUGGUUUUCAAACCCUUUACAUGUAUAGACCAGAACUGAUGCGUGGAGGAGAAUGGAUACUGGCAUAGUGGGUGAUUUCACCCACCUCCAAAACUGCAGCUAUUCCUAGGAGUCAAAUUUAGGAGAUAUCAAUUAAGCAGAUAAUACUGACAACUUCUCACCUAUUUGUUUACAAUAGACCUCAUUUGUUUCAAGAGCAGCCAAAAUAAAUAGCUCAGCUCUGCCCUCCUCUGGUCCUUUCAAGUAUUCAGGAGCCCAUUCUUGACAAAUGCUAUAGGGAGUGACCAAGGAUAGACACAAAUUGAAAGGAAAAAGUGUGUAUGAGAGAGAUACCUUGAACUUAACUCUAUUUUUAUUUUGUCUUCAAAAACAAAAAAGGUAAUUUGAUCCAAAUUACUUCUUCUUCUAAACUGUCAUUAAAUUUUUAAAAAAGGGACUCCUCUAGGAAGUUCACCAGUAUCUUUCAUAGGCUAUUUUUUCAAACUGGGGAGAAAAUAAAUAUGACAGGAGACAGUUCUUUUCAUUAGAAAUAUGCACUUUUAUGAGCAUCAUUAAAAAGAGAUGAGAUGGUGUUUUGUGAGGCUUCAUAUUAGAUUGCAAAAUAGAUCAGUGGCCCAGCUAAGCCAGUACCAUCAGUGGUAAGAGCCAUGAAAAUUAGAUUUCUUAGUUAAUUGCAACACUGAAAUUGAAGGGCGCUGAGUUAUCAUCAUGUCUGCAGUAACUGCCUCCUUAGGAGAAGUUGGCGAGCCACGGGUACAAUCUUUGUAUCAGCUUUGGGACUGGGCUGGAGAUCUGAGCUGUGCAGAUAUCCCCCCAUCUGGCUGGAAGCCCAGCCCAGGGACAAUCAACACCACUCUGAAAGCUACCAGACUUAUUCAAUGAGCACCUUCUACACACUUAAAAGGCUGCCCUCCACGCCAGCUCUGACGAACCAGGCAAGAAUCAGGUUUCCUCUGUGAGUUAUGAUUCUCAGAUUGACUGCAAGGCUUGCACUUUGAGGGUCUGUUGAGAAAGGAUGAGUGGAUCACUACCCCCUGAUUAAUAAAACCGACCAGACCAAAAAUUCUAGAAGCAGGAUAUUCUUAAAAUAGAAUUGUUCUUCUUCCACUAAGACCUUUCUCUCAGAAACCAAUUCCUGAAAUUUGAAUGAAGAACCCUCCUAUUUCCCUACAGCUCUAGGAACCAGAAGCUUAUCCUGACCAGAGGAAGGAGUAAAAGACAUACUUUGUUUUGAUUGAGCUGGGCUGUUCUUAACUACUUGUAACACUAUAAGGAAAAGCAUAUGUUGCAAAGGCUUCAGUCUCAGAGUAUCAUGAAAUCCCAAUGGAAAGGAGGAACUUCUGUGGACAGGUUGAAAUCCCUAUAAUAAUUAGGAAUUAAAAAAAAGAAAAAAAAAAGGCCAAAUGCUGCCCUUCCCAUCCUAGUCCAUGGGGUAAGAGAAUGAAAGCAACAACUACUUUCUGGCUGUCCCAGUUAAAGAUCUCGGGAUGUCCAGGAGGAUGAGGGCAAGCUGCCAACAUCUCCCCCAUCCUUGAGGCAUCUAGAAUCUUGAGGGCCCACACUAGAUGAUACCUCUACCAAGUUAUUACCCUGUUGCUUCCUUAAGGAUUUCUUAGGCUGUAAACAGCAAUGGCAGGAGAUAAGUUUGCUCAUAUAUGGGUGCUAUGUCAUGCUGUUUUGAUGGAGCCGUGUGGUUCUUUAAAGCAAUAAUUAAGGUGCUUUAUCAUUCUUUGAAACAAUGAAAUGAGUUCCGAAGUAGACAUUAUUGCCCAAUAAUUUCUGGGAUCAUUAAAGCUUCUUUAGCUAGGAUCCAGACCAUUACUUCUCCCUCUUCUCUCUCCAUCCCACGUCUGCCUCAUUCCACUGUCUCCCUCCACCUCCUCUUUUCAUCAGUUUGCUCACCUUGUUUUUGAAACCCAACUCUGCCAGAAGAUGUGGAUGUAUUCCUGAGGGGUGGGGAAUGGGGUACUGGCAUGGGGACUAGAAGGGAUUAGUAGCUCCUGUCUCAUUUGCUUUAAGGCUGUGAUUUCUAUUCUUCCUCUAGCUCUUGAGUUUUAGAGAAUUCAAUGCUCUGGAAAAUGUUCAUUGGAACACUGAGUCAGUAAGUCAGACUAUAGAGAAUGGCAAGCCAAAAAUAUACCCUUCAGAGAGCCCAAUGACAAAAAUUAUAUUCUACAUAAGGCUAUUAACCAGCAAAAGGGCAGAAGCAGGUCACUGACCUGGGGGGUGAAAGACACCGACUGGUGACAGGAUUCCAAGCACGAUGGGUCGAGUGCUCUGCUUCCCACUGCCUCGCGUUGCCUUGUUUUAGGCCUGCCUUUCUUCAGAUUCAACUGUUUUCUCGUGCAACUCCAGAAACUCAGUGUUCUGUGUAAACACACCUGUCUCGUGAAGUGGACAGAGGUCAAUGGGAAGUGGGUCCUCAUUCUGGCACUACCUCAGGCUCACCAGGGAAAUAUAGGUAAGCUAGCUACUCCACCUUUCUUUGCCCAAACACCCCCUGUAAACAGGGCGUUGAAGGAGAUUUAUCAAAGCCAAAUUCUGGAUACUUUGAUGGGCUUGGGACCCCACCCCAGCCCUUCAGUGGGCAGGUAGGGAGAAAUUAAGAAAGUGGAGCGUCUUGGUCCUCAAGGAGAUUACCAUCUUAAUUUUAUGGCCAUGAAAGUCUUAGAUAUUUCACAGUACGGAUAAAAUUAACUUCUCACCUGAGAAUGCCAUCCAACAUAAGGACAACAUUCCGCUCUUGUAGUUCAGCGUGUAUGUCCUGUGAAGGCUGUACCCCACUUCCCAGGGCAGUUGUUUGAAUUCUCUAUGCCAGAGACUCUGGAAGAAUCACAGAGAAAUGCGUCAGAGCUGAACUUUUGAAAUACCCCUGCGGAAAUAACUGCAGCAAUUCCAAGUUCCCCCUAGCUUGUCACCACACAUCGUUUAAUGGGCAAGACUUAGAAAUAUUUUCCUCUGUCCCUCUCUCUCUAGCUGCAGUUGCAGGCAGAAAAUAAAAGGGGAGGGGAGAUGCUUCAUACCAUUGGGAAGGUUCAUCUAAAUUCAUACCACUGGCUAGGUUAUACUAAUAAAGAGAAGAACUAUUAUAGCAAGUUUGGUGCACUAGAGCCAGCUGUCUGCAAGCCCUCCCCUCCCCCAAACAAAUCUCAUCCUUGCAACAAUGUUCCUGAAAUCAUUUCUGUAGCUCCACCAAACACUGUUUAUAAUCAGAAAACACUGCUUAUAAUCAGAAAACACUGCUCCUGCCUUUCCCACCAGGGAUGUAUUUAUGCUUUAUAGCAAUAGAAUCUCUUCAAAAUGCUUAUAGGAUGACAUGACAAAUAAUCUUCCCUCCCUUCAUCUGGCCCUAAAAUUAACGGGAAUAUUGCAGACUGAACUUUUUUCUGGUUCCAAAUUUUUAAAAAUUAAUAGACUUUUAAAUGAUAAUGCUUCCAUUAGGAAACCAACUGCUUCCUAUCCCAGCUCCCCAUCAGCAUAUAACCACUUCCUCCUUUGUCCCCCAGGCAUAUUUUAAAAGACCUCUAGAAUGGAUAGAUGCGUGACGAAACAUAUAUAGUGAAACAGUAGUCAUACAGUCACUGUAAAGUUCUAUUUUCCCCUCAGUUUCCCUGUCUCUAAAACAGGAGUAUUGAAUUAGUUGAGCAUGAAGUUUGCCUAGCUGUAAAGCUUGUUGAUUUUUUUUAAGGCCACUUCUCCAGUUGUCUUUUAGUUGCAGAGAAAAAAUAAGGACUUCCCCAGACUCUGUGAUGGUCUUACUCUUCCUCUUCUCUCAACUUUCCUCUCUAAACCCACUCGUGAUUUUCCUAGUACAGAGGAAAAGAAACAAGCUCCGAGUUAGAAGGCUGACAAGCAAGGAGGUGAGUGAUCUUGAGCAAGACCAUCACCCCUCUGACUCUCAACUUCUUUCUGUAUCUGGGGAUAAUACCCACAUCACAGACCCACUGUCUCAAUAAAAUGACAUAAUGUUAACUUCACCCCCUUGUUGUAAACUGUAGAGCAUUUUCAUCAUUUCAGCCUCUCUGAAACUCCUUAUUUCUUCCUGUUUGCCAGAAGAGGUCACCAAAAAGCUUUCUUUCACAACUGAGGCUGGUACCCAAACAGCCAAACCCACCCACUCUCCAGAGCAGCUGAUUCAUGCUGGGAAAUUUCAUGCCUAGCCCCAGGCAUUCUCUCACUGGUUAAUUACUCUGAGCUCACUUCAGAGGCUACACACAUUCCAAGAAACCUAAAUUCUGAUUCCACUUAACAAGCACUGCAUCCCUUUUUCCAUAGGCACCAUUUGAGUACUACCUAAAUAUAAUAGAAGCACCGUAUUUAGUAAACUCUGUGAAUAGCGCUCAGUCACAUGUAGACUAUUAAAAGAGUACUGUAUGUCAGUCUAUAACUUAAUUCUCACAAUGGCCCUCAUCUUAUUUCUCCUUUUAUAGAUGAGGAAACUGAGGCUCAGAAAACUUAUGUUACUAUUACGAGCCCAAGUCCCAGCCUUCCCAAGCUUGACAUCUUUGCAGACAAUGGGAGGCCAAGUUUUGAAACAGGCAUGACAUGUUUACCUCUUCCACUCACCUGUUUUUGACUUCAACAAAUUAUUUCACUGUGAUCUUAGUUACCUGCUUGUAAAAACCUCUUAUCUUCCCAAAUUGUUGAGUAUAAAGUCAAGCAAUUGAUGUGGUAGUUUGUCAUUAAAAAACAGUAUAUCUAAGAGACAAUAGUUUAACUCAAAAUGUUAUCUUCUGAUAACACACACAGUUCCUUUAGCCUAGGUACAUCCCAAUAUACAUAAAUUUAACCUCCUGUAACAUUACAUGCCAAGGCAUACCAUUUUGUACUAGACUGGAAAUCAAGCAUCGUGUAAAUAAGAACCAACCAAAAUAAUCCUUGGCCUCCCUCUUGGUAAUAAACAAUAUAAACCAGCCCACCUUUAAAGACUGAGCCUACUGAUCCAGUGUUUGGUACAUGAAGGAUUUGGAAGUGAUAUGGGUCCAUUUUCUGGCUAUAGAACUGUGGAAGCGAGCAAAAUCAGUUGACAGCAGGGCAGAGUGGGAAUAAACAGCAUUUGGAGGACAAUGAGAACACCUUGUUUGUAGUCCUGUAGGAGGGGUCACUGUGACCUGGAAUGGCUUGGAUUUGGCUGGACUCAUGGGUAAGAACUAGACCUUUUCUGGAAGUCUUUCCUAGGUCCCUCUAAAACACUCAACCAAGAACCUACUACAAACAAGGCACAGGAACCAAAAGUAAUUACAGAACUUAAUUUAUGAAGUGAAAUGUGAUAUGGAUAUGAAUAACCCAAAAGAUAUGGUAACAGAUGAGGCAGAGAAAUCAGGAGAGGUCUCUUGGAGGAUGGCUAUCUAGGCUCAGACUCAAGAAACUGCUAUUUGCAUAACAGUUUACUUUUAAAAUCACCUUUCAAAGUGUUAAACCCAAGAUCACCACUUCCUUUAAGUAGCUGUGGAGGUAAAGAGGGAGCAACUCUAUAUGAACGUAACCCACCGCCACUCCCAAAAAUUUUUAAUAAGCUAAUACUUGUCUCCAAGCUACUACUUGUCUCCUUAUGUUUCUGACUAAACAAUCACCUAGGUAACUUGAUGUGUACAAACUAGCCAGACCAGUUCAUGGGAGUAGGCUUCUUACAUUUCUGAGGGCCCCUCUGGCCUCAUCCAUGACUCUACAGUUGCAACCACAAGUCUGGCCUUUGGCAUAACAGGACCAUGAGCUAUAAGCAGCAAUGCCAGGCAAAUCUUGGCUACUGCUCUGAAGGCCAGAGCCGUACUUCUGUGUAGCUCCGUCUGGAUGCUGGUGAGCAAAAAUGGCACUCUGAAUGGACCCUAUCUAGUGACCACAAGUCAGGUUCAGCAGGUCUCCGGGCAACUGUUGAGUGCUUGCCUUUGGGUGGUUUUUCAAAAUGUCUCAGCCUAGAGAAAGCAGCUUAGCCCUUCAAGGUUUGAGCUGGAAGCUCAAGGGGGAGGUUUCAAAAAAAGUGUUCUAGUCAGGACUAGAGUUUACAUAUUGUUUCCAGUUUUCCUAUCAACUCCCUACACCUGUCUUCAUCUACCGGCUAUUUAUUAAGUCUACUGUAUCAAGGCAGUUUACCAUGAAAGCAGGGUAUCAGAGUAUAACAGAGCUUCUUUCUUACAACAUAGGAAGGGAUAAUAGAAGUACGGAAGUAAUUACUAGUGUGGCACGCCGGAAAUAUGUGAGAGAAAGGAGGGUGCCAGGGACUGUGCAGAAAAUAAAUCAUGGAUGUUUCAUGGCUGACAGGCCAUUUGAGAAGUAGUACCCUUAAAGAACAUUCGAGAUUUUGACAGAUGGGAGAAGAGUAUUCUGGCACAAGGAAUAUGAGUUAAAAUAAGGAGGUAAAUAACAAGGGGCACAAUAUAAGGCACUGUGAUUAUCCAUUUGGCUGAAGUCUAACGAAUGGUAGGCAUGUUUGGAAAGACAGAUUUGGAGUACAUCAGGACUACCUUACAAGUAGAAAAAAAAGGGUAUCCCCUCAUGGUUUGUAAAGCAGUUCAUUCUAUCCCCUCGCCAUUAGCUGAUAUUAAUACUUCCAACCUAAUUCAAACUUACCUGUACUUUCUUGCAGCAAACUCAACUUUAUCUUAGCAGCAGAUAUAGUUAAGUACCCACUAGAAAUUCACAUCAAGGACAUCAAUUCAAGCCAAGUAUUAAGCAUUUAGUUUGUGAUAGGUAGGCACUAGAAAGGACAAUAAAGGUACAUUCAGCUAGCUAUUCUACAGUGAUUCUGAGAAAGUUACUUUUAGAGUUUUGUCGAAUAUCAAGCCAAGCCAAUCUUAGUACAAGGCAGGUAUUUGUAUAGGAGAGACUGUGCUCCUAAUAUUAUUACAUUUUGUUGAUCUGAAAUAUUAAACAGAGAUGACCUAGAAGACAAGUACAGUUUAGCACACCCUUUUUUUUCCUUCAGCUUUAACUAAAAUAAUUCUCCCAACCCAGAGAACAUCUCUCCAUUCAAAGCACAAAAUCACAACUAUAAAGGAAGAAGUGUAUGGACGGGGAAAAAAUCAAAUAUGAAUAGGAAAAAAAAAAAGACAAAAGUACUGGUUUUUAGUAAGUCAUUGCCUAUGGAAGUAUAUAAAAAGAAGUUUCUUUCCGAAUGAUUUACCUUUCUUCAGAAAGAAUAUUUUGGGGAAAGAGAAGGUUAGUAUUACCUAUCCUAGUAAAUGAAAGACUGGCCCAAGUCUUUUUUAGAAGUGGUGCUUACAUAUCAAAUAAUCACUUUGCUAAACUCAGUUUUUCCCACAUUAGAUAUAUUUCUAUGUCAUUGAAAGGUGUACCAUGCUCAACAUGUCAUUUAGCCAGACUAGUAAGAGACAGGAAAAAAAAAAAAUUGGACAUUACCACAAUGCAUUUCAGAGCAUUUUUAAAAUCCAGACUAUUUCAUAUUUUGAUGGUUCAAUCUUCCCAUACUUGGUCCAUUAUAUUUUCAGCACUAACAACAGUUAAAAUGAGAUGAGUAAAUUAAAUCCUAAAUUGUUCAUCUUUGCUACUUAGUAUAUUGGACACAGAUAAAAUACCUACCCAAUGUGAUUUCUGCACACAUUAAACAAAAGUACAAUGUUCUUAAAAAAAAAAUUUUUUUUUUCCAAGCAAGUUAAAUAGCCAAGUUCUACUUUCAAGACAAACAUACCAACUUCAGCAGUCUGCAAAUAAGUUUGAAAAACAAUGCAAUACACAUCUUCACUGUUGUAAUUAGACUUGACAUGUACAACAUGAACCACAAAGUGUCUAAGACAAAACCCUUAAUGAUUUUAUGCCUGGAGGUAAGGUUGCCAAAGUGUAUCCCUGUCUCAUUGUCUGGAUCAGUCCAAACUCCGUUUAUCUAGAAUGAUUCAAAUCACUGCAAGCAAUGUAAAUAACAGUGUCAUUCUGAGUGAAGUGCACUUGGAAAGUACAGUGACUGCUCACUUUCUGAGUGUUCAGACAUACUAAAGUGCUUCCAAACUACACAUUAUCUGUCCUCUCCCAGGACAAGCCAUUUCCAGAGACCUCAUUCUCAAACUUGACUGAUCCAGGGAACAUGGGACACGAUGAAUUACCUUGCAACCAAAGUUGUGAAUGCCCUAAGGCCCUACUUGGAAACUGGCCCACAGACAACUGGGGAUGAACAGGACUAUUUGAUAGCCAAUUCAUAGCUAAAUCAACAUUAAUGAAAAAGCAGUUAGAUUAAUAUACAACAUUCCAAAAUGAGUGGUAACAUUAUCAAAUAAAUGCUCAGUUGCUGUACCUUAUUUACAUAAUUCAUCUUAGACUUUCUUUUGCGGGGGGCGGGGGGGGGGACAAGAUUAAUUCACUGAGAUGGGCCAAUCUCAAGAUUUCCCCUCAACCUUGCCAAAGUAAAUGACUUCUGCAUCACUGAAGUCAGCUCCAAAAGACUUGCCCUUCAAGCUUUCCCCAUUUAACUCAUGUAGAUAUUUGCACAAAAGAUCUGCCCUUUGUCUUAAAAGUUGCCUGACUUGAUGUUUAGGCAGAAGAGCAAAUCCCAUGUAUGAUACUUCUGCAAGUAAUUUUACAUUUCCUUUUUUCCAAAAAGCUAACUGCCAACUUACAUGUGUGAUACAGUGGAGAUAAAAGUUGAUUACUAAGGGAACUUCCCUGGAGGGUGUCCAGUGAUCGACUCUGUGCUUCCAUUGCAGGUGCCAUGGGCUUGAUCCCUGGUCGGGAAAUGAGUUUCUGUCUGCCUCGUGGCGCCAAAAAAAAACCAAGUUAUUAACUUUCAGUGACUCUAGGGGUUCUUACCUGAAACCUCACACUCUGGUCAUUACACUUUAUUCAAAAAGUUCUCUUUUAACUCCAAAGAAUAGAAAGGCACUGUGUAGUUCUUUAGGUCAUAAUGCCAACACUGACUGUAGAGUCUGUUACAGGUAAGAUAAAUGCAAAUUACAAUUCUGACUGUAAUUACCAUACUUUUGGGGAGAUGUAAAAAUUAUGCUGGAUUGGGCAGUGUUAGCUAAGCUGGUAAGUGCUUCAUCAUCCAUGAUGGAAGAGGUUCAAAAUAAUUCAUAGUUCCCUGUAAGAGACUGCAAGAGUCACAAGCCCACACAGCAGUAACUGACAACUAGCCAAAGUAGAAGACAUUUCUCAGUAGCCUGGGGACAUCUUAAACAAUGAAUGGGCCUGGAAAACUGGGUCAGGAUUACUCACAAAGCUCCUCAUCCUUUCCUGGAAGAAAAUGUGAUAGUAUGUCUUUUAUAUGGAAAUUUCUUUGUAUAUAUGUAUAAACUUGGUAUGGCCUUAAUGCUGCAGUUAAGGAUUUGUUUGGCUACCACCUUAAGCAGCGUGUUAAGCAAUUGCCUCCUUAUUGUAUAUUUUUACUUCUCCCUAGGCUCUUAACCUUGAACAACCAAUUCCCCUUUGUCCCUUAUUCAACCCUGUCUUUUGCAUGAAGUCAUAAAUGUUAUGGCAGUUAUUUUUUGGCUUGUAAAAAAAAAAAACUCUAUUUCUGCAGUUUGAAGAUGGAAUGUAAACUUUCUGUGAUACAUGUAUAUAUAAAAAUAUAUUUAUUGAACCAUCCAUAUACACACAUCCAUGCUGAUUCCAAUGGAAAAAAAUUAAAAGUUUUCUGAAAUUUUCCCUGUGGUUAAUUCAUAGUUGUUACUACUUAACCAACUUGAUAUUAGAACUUCUGAAAUCUCGCAAUUACCCGAGAGAAACCUACGUAUCAUCUGGAAAACAUCAUUUCACUUAAGACAAGGCUUUAUGCUGUUCGUUCAAGAUGUAUUUAUUGAUAGGUGCUAUGGGAUACAAAGAUGACUGAAACACAGAUCCUGCCCGUAAGGAGCUUACAGUCUAGCAGGGAAGACAGAACACAUACAUGGGAUACAUGGUCAGAGCUAGGUUUCAGUAAGAUGAAUCUAAUAUCGUGUAGAAAGUAGACUGGAAGAAAAGAAGAGGUAAAGAAAGCUGAGAGGCCACUGAAAGGAAGUGGGGAGGAAGGAUGUGAAAGACUGCUGAGGUAGAAAUGACAGGAAUUAGCUGGAGACAGGAUGUAAGGCGACAGGAAGCAGGUGACUAGCGUGACUGACUUGUAGCAUGGGUGAUGGCAAACUGAGAACGGAGUAGGUGUACGGUAACAAACGAAACUUGGCAUAUACAGCUCCUGCGCGUCAACACAAAAUGCCCGGGAUAUACUGGGCGCAAUCAGAAAGAAAACAGCUAAUUGCCCAGACCAGGGAUGGAAGUACUCCAAAAUGACCAGUGACUUCUCCCUCUUCUGCCCACCCCUCAAAAUUUCACACCAAUCCCCUCCGAUAUGAAAUGCGUGAUGCCUAUAAUUUAUUGAAUUAUGCCUAAUCCCUAGGCAUGCCUCCCUCAUAAGCAUGAAAACAGGAAUACAUUAUUCAACUGAGUGAAUCGUCAUUUAAGGGUGUUUUCAUGUACCUCCAGGAGGAAUGGAUUAAUCCUCCAGUCCUUGUCCUCCAGGAGGUUAUGGUAUGUUCUAGUUCUAGGUUGAAGGGGUAAGUUAUAAGCUAAGAGAAAGGUAUUAAAUAUUCUAGGAACAUUUUAAAAUGAAGAUUGGGACAGAAUUUCCAAAAGGAGGGACAAAGGGACAAUGUGGAAGAUAAGUAGAUGAAAGUAAAUUUGCUCCUUACUUCAAAUUCUGGACAGACCAACCCCCACAGGGUAAUGAAGUAACCUCUCUUAAGACAUCUUUUCUCUUAGGGAGAAAAGAAAAAGCUCUUGAUAGAGGUCUUGGGAAAAAAAGGUUUUGAUGUUUAGAGAUUGGAGGUGGCGGGAGGAGGGGUGGCAGGGAGAAUGCAGAUGCAAGUCUAUCCUCAGGGAAGUAAAGGCACUUGAAGCCAUGGAAUCAGCAACACCUAGCCUGUCAGCAAACCAUAACCAUCCUUCCAUGAAGAAUAGGAAAAACCACUGGAAAGGCAGAUUAGGACCCUGAUUCAAACACGGUGCUGCCAGGCACUGAACAGGGGAUAUGCCUAAGACCAAAUUGCUGCCCCUUAGGAGCUUACAGUUGUAACAAUACAAGGUGGGGAAAGCACCACAAUGUACAGAAUGCAAAAUGCUGACAGAUUUAGGAGAGAAUUACAGCUGAGUUUCAGCUAUUAACACAUUAGGAUACCCAAUAGCUUUCUGACAGCUAGUAGUAAACACAUCCCUGAGGGGAACACAAGUUAAUGUCCUUAUUGACAAAAGGCCCUGGAACGGGCAUUAAAACAGUUGGAAGAAAACAGAAAACGUAUGAAAACUGAGCUAAUGAAGCAACUGGAUAAGCAUACACAAUGUGGCUCCUUCCCUUUUCUCCCCACAUCCUACCUUUUGACAGCUUUGGCUUACUAAAGCAAACAUAGGGCAGGAUUGGCAAUUCCUCAAUGUGCUGGACUAGUCAUCUGAGUCAUCGACUUUUUGAAAACUGCAGGGGUAAUACAAAUCACCUUAGUCCUUUCCAGCACUGAUACUUUAAGGAAUCUAGGAGUCUCCUCCUGUUUCUUGUGAUAACCAUCAGUACGGCGGGGGGGGGGGGCCGGGCACGGAAUUUAUAGAAAUAGUUUCUCACUUAAAAUUAUGAUUUUCUUUUAUGUAAACCAUAAAUUAUUCAUAUUCCAUCAGCUAAAUUCCACCCCUAUCCCACUCUUCUUGAAAACCAAUGUAGAUACCUAUGCAAAUUUAUUUUUAACACAAUGUAUGUUCUACAUAAUCUACUUACAUUGUAUACUGAAUCUUUAAAGGAAGUCCCUUCUUUGCUAAUUCCUUAUGUCUUCAUUUAAAAGGGCCAAAUCAUUGUACACACACUCCUCAUAAAAACAUUUAAGAAUCUAAACCAAACCCAAACAGGUGACAACAAAACUUAGGGAGAGUAUCAGUAACCAAAGUGGUUAAUUACAGCAAUAGUUAAAACUAUAUCCAUAUUAAAUGAUAUAAUCAUCCCUCUAAUUACUACCAAAAAUACAGGCAAACUUCCCACAAGUGGGUUUCUGAAGAAUAAAUACUUGCUAAAGUACUUCAAUAGUGAAUUUUUGGGUAAGCAUCACUUACUUAAAAAAAGAAAGUCCCUUAGGAAUCUGUGACAUUGGACACAUUUCAAAGUAAUAACCACACAGUAGAUUUCUCUAACUGACCAGGUCACAUGGUUUAUAGAAGUAACAAGAGAACUGAUUUCCAAUACUAUAUUCUUCUCACCCAGGGCUACCAGGUUUGAGUGGAAACUGAAGAGGAGAGACUUCAAAAGUCAUGCAAUCAAAAGACAGCAACUUUGAUUAUAAGCCAAUACAUAAGCAUGAUCAAAAGUAAAACUGGUUAAGGGUUGUAGGCCACCUUUAAUCAACCUUUCACUCAUUCAGGCCAUUAUUAAAGACUGCUUCAUGAAAGCAUGAGCAAAGCAAUCUAAUUUCAGCAUCAUCCAGAGUUAGAUACACAUCCACUAAAAGUAAUAAAACUAAGUUUUAUCUCACAUGUGCCACCAUGUCUUUAAUUCAGUCUAGUAAGUUCACAAGCCCAUCUAUGGUCCCCAGAACCUUGAUAUUACAGUAAACACAAAUUCCAAAAGGUAUUACCACCCUAAAACCAGAAGUCUUCGUUUAAUGACCUAGUACAACAUGACAAGUGACUUUAACCUACAACCCCAUCCCACAUAAAAUAUUGAUAAGUUUCUAACACAUUCUUUAAGGUUUCUAAAACAUCUGCAAAAGACUACCUCUAAUUGUCCACUGCCAAUCUAUGGUACAUUAGGCACUUAGCUAGAACUCCAUAUUCAAAUAAAUGUUGAAGUUGCUUCUUUUACAAGGUUCAAAAUUGUUAAACUAAAAGUUCAACAACUGUCUAAUUUGUAUACAGCUCCUACAGAGAUUCUUUUAAGUAGCACAAAAAUAAAGCUUUAAUAUAAAAAUUAUUUUUAGAGAUCAGUAGGUUUGACAAAUGCAAACAACUUCCCUAAAAUAAGCCACGAGACAAACAAUGGACUACAAAUUUAAAUUCCAUAGAAAGAAAUUCCAUUUAUUCUGACAAACAGUAUCUAUAAAGUGCCACGUUCUCCACUAAAUCACUAACUCUACCAGGGUUCUCAAAUAAAGGGAUGAAGAGAAGUAUCAGAGGAUGGCAGUUUACAAGCAUGAAACACAACUAAACUAACCUGGAUGAUGCUAAAAAUAUUGUCUUUCACAUCCAGAUUAAAUUGUACUAAAUGUAUUCUCAAACCAGAUGAGAAAAUAAUCUAGUAAUUCAAUAGCACUGUGCCACAAUAAAGUCUACAAAUCAAAAGAAGUCCUACAAAAUUAAUAUUUAACUACUUUACCUUCAAGGAAAUAAAAAAUGGUAAUGCUAGUCUUGACCUGAAUGUUUUGCAGACUCAAGUCUCUACACUGUAGUUAUCUCAUGCCCUAUUCCCUUAAUGGUAUUCAAAUGUAAAUAUAGGUAGGCACUAUGGUUCUAGAAAAAAAGCAUCAAGUUUUGGAGGCCAAUCUGCUCCUACUACAUGGAGGCUCGUGAUGUACUUUCUUCACCUACUACUUUGAGGGGGGAAUAACACCUAAGUCACAGCGUAUAGCUGUGAAAUAUUUAGUUGUCCAACCUAAAGUGCAAUUCAGCUAACAUGGUGGUAGUAACCUACUGAUCCAAAACCAAACAAUUAUUCUUGCAUUAUCCAUUUCACCACUUUGCAGCAAUAACUCAAAAUGUUGAGAACACAGGAAAACACAAAACGAACCUCAAUAUAAAAGCAAACAAAAUUAUUUUUGUACAGUCAAAGGUCUAUUUAUUUUCAACAGAUCUUAAAAGACUGAAAUCUACUGAACCAAACUAGUGUAACUUAGCUAAAAUGUUCAUGUGUGAAGGGUUUUAAGCUCAGGAGAAAAGAACUACCUGUUGGGCCAUUCCAACAGACAAAAAAUUAUGUUGAAUGUGAUGAGGUGAUACUGCCUACAGAAAAUCUUGCCCUCACCUAUUUUCUUUUCACUAACUGUGAAAUAUGUGAAUAGAUGUGUACCUAGGGUAACAUGUUUAUUACAUCAGCAAUAAAGAGUGUUAACCAUGAUGCUGAAUCCUACUUAUAAAGUCCAAUGCAAGUCAAAUCACCAUAAUAUCCCAAUUAUGGUAACUUGAAAUUACUGAAGCAAACUUUUGUGAAAUUAUGCAGGAAUUCCCUGCAAUAAAUUACAAGCAGCAUAUAGUAUAUUGCUACCUCUCCAAAUUAAAACACACACACACACACAAUUGGUACAAAUAAAGUUGGGAUUACUUACAGUAGUUGUUACUAUAAUUCCUGAGAGAUUUCUAGUUGCUAUUUUUCUGAGACUCUAUUUCAAAGGAAUGAGUCUUCACUCCAGUUGUCCUAUCCCACCAUUCUACCCACCAUGAAUUACAGGAGUAAGGACUCCCUGUGUUCUCAGCGGGGCUGCUUCAUUUUCCAAGAGCAUUUUGGCAUCACUGGCCCCCAUUCAGCAAACACCAGAUGCAGGGCAUGCAUCUCCCUCCACCCGCCUCCCCACCAAAAGAACCCACAAAUUUCUGCAUGUCCUCUAGGAUGUAACAAUAGCCCCAAGUUGAGGAACACUGUAUUUAGUUAGUGCCCUUAAAGCUCUGCUCUGAGGAGGAAAAACAUUUAGAAAUGUAUGGUUUAGUAUUCACUUAUGAAAAAUGAUUCCUAGGUUAUCUAUAUUUUAUCACCUAAUAGUUACUACAACUUAAUUUUUUUCCUCAAGAAUAACUCAGGCUAAAUUUUCUUCUUUCAACUACAAGCUUAAUAUAAGCUACAAAAGUACAAGCUGAAUGUCUUCUAAUUCUG
ensembl:lncRNA